GGAUGUGAGGGUGAUCUGGCUGCGACAUCUGUCACCACAUUGAUCGCCAGGGUUGAUUCGGCUGAUCUGGCUGGCUAGGCGGGUGUCCCCUUCCUCCCUCACCGCUCCAUGUGCGUCCCUCCCAAAGCUGCGCGCUCGGUCGAAGAGGACGACCAUCCCCGAUAGAGGAGGACCGUUCUUCGGUCAAGGGUAUACAAGUAGCUGCGCUCCCCUGCUAGAACCUCCAAACAAGCUCUCAAGAAAGUGGGUAAUUUCAAAAUUAUACAUGGUAUCAUAGUAAGUUAAAAUGGUAAGUGAAUGUGGUAAAUU
rnacentral:snRNA from 1 species